rnacentral:rRNA from 1 species
UGGGGAAUAUUGCGCAAUGGGCGAAAGCCUGACGCAGCAACGCCGUGUGAGGGAUGAAGGCUUUCGGGUCGUAAACCUCUGUCGGAAGGGAAGAACGGGUGAGGGUCUAAUAGGCCUUCAUUUUGACGGUACCUUUAGAGGAAGCACCGGCUAACUCCGUGCCAGCAGCCGCGGUAAUACGGAGGGUGCAAGCGUUAUUCGGAAUUACUGGGCGUAAAGCGCACGUAGGCCGCUUUGUAAGUCAGGGGUGAAAUCCCACGGCUCAACCGUGGAACUGCCCUUGAAACUGCAGAGCUUGAAUCCUGGAGAGGGUGGCGGAAUUCCUGGUGUAGGAGUGAAAUCCGUAGAUAUCAGGAGGAACACCGGUGGCGAAGGCGGCCACCUGGACAGGCAUUGACGCUGAGGUGCGAAAGUGUGGGGAGCAAACA